rnacentral:rRNA from 1 species
CCUACGGGAGGCAGCAGUGAGGAAUAUUGGUCAAUGGACGAGAGUCUGAACCAGCCAAGUAGCGUGAAGGAUGACUGUCCUAUGGGUUGUAAACUUCUUUUAUAUGGGAAUAAAAUGUUCCACGUGUGGGAGUUUGUAUGUACCAUAUGAAUAAGGAUCGGCUAACUCCGUGCCAGCAGCCGCGGUAAUACGGAGGAUCCGAGCGUUAUCCGGAUUUAUUGGGUUUAAAGGGUGCGUAGGUGGAUUGUUAAGUCAACUGUGAAAGUUUGCGGGUCAACCGUAAAAUGGCAGUUGAAACUGGCAGUCUUGAGUAUAGUAGAGGUAGGCGGAAUGCGUGGUGUAGCGGUGAAAUGCAUAGAUAUCACGAAGAACUCCGAUUGCGAAGGCAGCACGCUGGA